rnacentral:rRNA from 1 species
AUUGAACGCUGGCGGCAUGCUUUACACAUGCAAGUCGAACGGUAACAGGCCGCAAGGUGCUGACGAGUGGCGAACGGGUGAGUAAUGCAUCGGAACGUGCCCAGUCGUGGGGGAUAACGCAGCGAAAGCUGCGCUAAUCCCGCAUACGAUCUAUGGAUGAAAGCGGGGGACCGUAAGGCCUCGCGCGAUUGGAGCGGCCGAUGUCAGACUAGGUAGUUGGUGGGGCAAAGGCCCACCAAGCCAACGAUCUGUAGCUGGUCUGAGAGGACGACCAGCCACACUGGGACUGAGACACGGCCCAGACUCCUACGGGAGGCAGCAGUGGGGAAUUUUGGACAAUGGGCGCAAGCCUGAUCCAGCAAUGCCGCGUGCAGGAAGAAGGCCUUCGGGUUGUAAACUGCUUUUGUACGGAACGAAACGGUCCGGGUUAAUACCCUGGGCUAAUGACGGUACCGUAAGAAUAAGCACCGGCUAACUACGUGCCAGCCGCCGCAGUAACAC